CCUACGGGAGGCAGCAGUGGGGAAUCUUGCGCAAUGGGCGAAAGCCUGACGCAGCCAUGCCGCGUGAAUGAUGAAGGUCUUAGGAUUGUAAAAUUCUUUCACCGGGGACGAUAAUGACGGUACCCGGAGAAGAAGCCCCGGCUAACUUCGUGCCAGCAGCCGCGGUAAUACGAAGGGGGCUAGCGUUGCUCGGAAUUACUGGGCGUAAAGGGAGCGUAGGCGGAUAGUUUAGUCAGAGGUGAAAGCCCAGGGCUCAACCUUGGAAUUGCCUUUGAUACUGGCUAUCUUGAGUACGGAAGAGGUAUGUGGAACUCCGAGUGUAGAGGUGAAAUUCGUAGAUAUUCGGAAGAACACCAGUGGCGAAGGCGACAUACUGGUCCGUUACUGACGCUGAGGCUCGAAAGCGUGGGGAGCAAACAGGAUUAGAUACCCUGGUAGUCCACGCUGUAAACGAUGAGUGCUAGUUGUCGGCAUGCAUGCAUGUCGGUGACGCAGCUAACGCAUUAAGCACUCCGCCUGGGGAGUACGGUCGCAAGAUUAAAACUUAAGGAAUUGACGG
rnacentral:rRNA from 1 species